rnacentral:rRNA from 1 species
UACAGAGGGUGCGAGCGUUAAUCGGAAUUACUGGGCGUAAAGCGCGCGUAGGCGGCUUUGCAAGUCGGGUGUGAAAUCCCCAGGCUUAACCUGGGAACUGCAUUCGAGACUGCAAGGCUUGAGUGCGGCAGAGGAGACUGGAAUUCCUGGUGUAGCAGUGAAAUGCGUAGAUAUCAGGAGGAAUACCGAUGGCGAAGGCAGGUCUCUGGGCUGACACUGACGCUCAUGCACGAAAGCGUGGGGAGCAAACAGG